GUGGAAUCAAAAUGACCGGUGUAAUCUUUCACCAGAAAUGGACAUCUGAGAAUGGCAAGCUCUGAGACGGGUAGUUGCACAGUCUGUCACAAACUGCGAUGUCAAUACAAUAAAGCGCUAGUGGAACCAAGUUUCUUUUUAGUCCAUCUUGACGUUUGUGUUCUUACUGAAAAAUCAAGAGAAGUGAGAGAAAGCGGCGAAAACUGAAGGAGAUUGAGAAGAUCGUGAGUGCUUUGAGAAACACCGAGGGCGGAGAUGUGUUGUUACAUCUAGACGGACAAACAAGGGACGAUAAAUAUCUCGGACAUCUCGACGACUUUCUGGACAAUAGCUUGAACAAUCUAAUCCCUGACGGUAAGCUGUUCAUUGAGUCAUACACUCGCCAAUGGCUGCACGAAUGGGAACAGUUUGAACAAUUUCUGGAUGUUGUGUUGCUGAAAGUUACCAAAACACCAUUCAUAUCGACAGUUGAUUUUAAGACGAAAGUAUCCUCAGACUUCAAGAUUGAGAAAGCGUCAACGAUUAAUAUCGUGUCAAUUUUGUCAAAUGACGUCCAUCCUCAAAAAGCACUUCCCAAGCUCCGUGGAUUAGAUCAAUAUACGACCCUACUGCAUGAAAACAGAAGGACAGAAUUAAAAGUUUACAUGCCCAACAAAAAAAAUAGACUCAGUUGGAGAAUUUGUUGAUUAUGUUUGGCAGGACCUGCGCUUUAAAGAAAAUUUAAGCUGUUUGUCUAAAGUGAAGGAAGGUGGGUCAUUUUUUCUUGGAAUAAAUGAGCUGCGACAUAACAAAAAACCUUACGAAUCGAAGAUCAUCGAACUGUGGGGUGUAGAUGUGCCUGGGUCUAUAGCAGAACUUAGAUCAUCAGUGUUCAAGAAGAUCAAGGACGAAGCUGCAUUUCUAAGCUUCGAUGGACAUUUGCUGGACGUUCCAGAGGACCUGGUAGAAGUAGAAUUGCACAGGUUCACAGACAAAGACAAUAAGUUUAAGUAUAUUCUUGAAAUCGCAGUUGGUUGUGUUGAGGGCAUCGUGUUCUAUGAAAAGAAGGGACCAGAGACAUAUACAAUUCAAAAUGGUACAAUUUGUAGAAUGGACUUCAAGGAGUGGCUCCGCCGAAUUCAGAUGAUGUCCCUUGAGACCAGGCUUUCUGACAUGUCUUUGGUGUAAGGAUGCACCUACCUGUGGAUCCGUUGAAUUCAGAUGAUGUUCCUUAUUCCUUAAGACCAAUCUUUCUGACAUGUCCUUGGCUUAAGGAUAUACCUACCUGUGGAUCUGUCGAAGUCAGAUGAUGUCCCUUGAGACAAAGCUUUCUGACAUGCCUCUGGUUUAAAGAUAUACUUAACCGUGACUCCGUCGAAUUCAGAUGAUGUUCCUCACGAUCAAUCUUUCUGACAUGUCUUUGGCUUAAGGAUAUACCUACUGGUGGAUCCGUCGGAUUCAGAUGCUGUACCUUAAGACAAAACUUUGUGACAUGUUCUUAGUUUAAGGAUACACCUACCCGCCAACAUGUCUGAUUACCGAACGCACAAGCGGUCAGGGUCCAUGACGACGUCUUUAGGCAGCUAUGGUCAAUCCAGCGGCUCCGUGUCCCUGGGCAUGUACUCGGAUCAGAUCAUCGUCAGUGGAGUGGGGGAACAAGACGUGUCUUCAUCCAGCCCAGCAUCGUUACGACGUAGUCCACACACGGUUGUUCCAGGUACAGACUUCUUGACAGAACAUGCUGUGUGUCUUAUACAGAGUACAUCUCCAGGUAGAUCCUCCCAAGAACUACCUGGCUACUGCCCACCUGUCUUCACGUACGACUUCACAGAUACGAUCCAUGAACAUGACGAUUUUCUGGGAAGGUACAACAGAGGUUACUUUUCACAGUGGAUUGCCACAGAGCUUGCAGGUAAAGGAUUCAUCUAUCCAAAGAUCAUGGUCGAUUACCUGUCAGAUGUUGCUGAAACUGUUCUCUUAGAAAUAGAGAAACUGUGUGAAGAAGGAUACUUUGCCUACAUCGGCCACUCGCUGUUGGCCACCCUAAACAAGACCCUGAACGGAAAGUUUCCUGACAACGUGCUUUGUGACGUGUGUAUUUUCCGAGAUGACAGUCCAGUGUUGGUCCUGACAAUACUUACAGAUGGCCUCAAACUGGACAGAGCCAAAUAUUACAACUCUCAGCUCGCCAGGGCAAUCGUCAGCAUUGUAAGGAAAGACAUUGCGGACUUCUCCGUCAACAACGGUGUUCUGACUUUAGAGCAGUUCCACUCCAGUGAAAGAUUUGCUGAAGACCUUGAGCGGAUUGUCUCAGAAACAUCCAAAGGGGCAACAGCUGGAGCGAUUCAAAUGAAUCCAAGGAAAUGUCACGAUGUGAUACAUCUGUUUUUGAAGCAGGUUAAUUCUUGCUUCUCUCGAUCUGUGAAAAGUGUUGACUCCUAUUACUGUUUUACAGGAGAAAGUUUUGAUUUUUUUUCUGAAAUGUUGGAAGAUCGACGCCGUGUUGGCGUCACGCUGCCCUCAUCUGACUACGCAACUCUGAUAGUGAGUGAGAUUGUGGUCCGACUCAGUGUGGUCUCAAAGACAGUCACUGUCACCUGUGUCCAGGAUUACCUGAAGGAACUGGAAAAUCUGAGGACAUUAAGAAACAACGUGCAGGUACUGAAGUGUCCUUCCACGGCUUGUGAACAGGAGUCUGGCCCUGCUCCCGAUGUAGUUGUGACAACAUCGUGGAGCACCAGCGCCAAAUGGGAAUUCUACGUCAGACACGACUAUGGCCUCGAAGACACUCCAGAAGGAACUGCACGUCCAGGUGACUCAGGAGCAUCUACUACAGACAACAAGGAGGUGACGCAGGCAAGGAAGGUGUUGGCGUCGGCGAUAGUGGAUAAUGCAGGCUGCGCACGUAGUCGUGGAAGGGAUGACGUUGCUCAACUGGAGGUGAUGAUGGAGUUUACGUUGCAACAGUGUGCACAGCGGGCAGCCAUUUUCCUCCAGGACCAUCUCCCUGAUGGAGUGGACGUGCGGGAGUUUGACAGACUGAACAGUUUCAUGGAGGAUUACCUCAUGCAGAGCUUCCGGCAGCGGAAUCUGCAGCUUCUGUUUCGGGAGGACGUCGGUGUUUCUGAUGCAUAUAUUGAAUCGAUAAGAAAGGUUUCCCCCAUCCUUAUCCGUGGCCUCGACUUACAAUCUACGCCUCUGAUGGACCGCCUCAUCAGCAGUGACGUCAUGUCUGAAGCAGGAAGAGAGAGCAUCUUGGCACGCCCAACCAACCAUUCGAGAAACAAAGCCUUCGUUACCUACCUGCGAGGUAACUUCACCCACGAAACAUUCAAGGACCAAUUCCUCCAAGUGCUUUCUGAACAAAACCAGACCCUGGCUAAGGAAGUGGGGGACGAGCUGGAGAGGCUGACCGUGUCUAGUAGACGGAGAACAAAGUGUCCCUUCUGUAAGAUGAAGGAGACGGUCAACAUCAGGCAACUGGCAGAUUCUCUGUAUCAGAUGAACGAAAUUUCUCAAUCUCUACAGCAGGAUUUGUCGGCCUCGUAUCUCCCAGACACAGUGAGAUGGUCGGAACUGUUCAAGCAAGUCACAAGCAUGAAAACUAUAAUGAAAGCGCUUGAAGUUAAGAAUGAACGUCUUCACCGAGAAUUCAUCACUCACGAACGAGGCCUUUCCAAGAGUCGUUUUUGCCUGGAAUGUACAUGUGAUCAUUCUGAGCAGCUUGGUGCUGUCGCGGGGUCGGACACCAAGAGUGAUGUGGCCAAUAUGUCAGAUUUCCACGACUGACGGACAGCCUGAUCAACUCAACACUGAAAAACGUUCCCAUAUUUCCACAACUAACCGUCUGAUGUCCUCAACAAUGUUAACCGUUCCCAUAUUUCCACGACUGACAGUCUGAUGUGUUCAACAAUCUAAAACGUUCCCAGAUUUCCAAGACUGACAGUCUGAUGCGUUCAACAAGGUUAACCGUUCCCAUAUUUCCACGACUGACAGUCUGAUGUGUUCAACAAUCUAAAACGUUCCCAUAUUUCCACGACUGAUAGACAGUCUGAUGUGUUCAACAAUCUAAAACGUUCCCAGAUUUCCACGACUGAUAGACAGUCUGAUGUGUUCAACAAUCUAAAACGUUCCCAGAUUUCCACGACUGAUAGACAGUCUGAUGUGCUCAACAAUCUAAAACGUUCCCAGAUUUCCACGACUGAUAGACAGUCUGAUGUGUUCAACAAUGUUAACCGUUCCCAUAUUUCCACGACUGACAGGCAGUCUGAUGUGUUCAACAAUGUUAACCGUUCCCAUAUUUCCACGACUGACAGGCAGUCUGAUGUGCUCAACAAUGAAAAGCGUUGUCUUUGAGGAAAAUAAAAUGACGUACUUGUAAAGGAAA
rnacentral:misc_RNA from 1 species